AAAUGAGGGGUGUCGUAAAAGGCGCUCUUGGGAUUUGUGAAAUACCUAUAACUGUUGCUUCGGCGGGUAGGGUCUCCGUGACCCUCCCGGCCUCCCGCCCCCGGGCGGGUCGGCGCCCGCCGGAGGAUAACCAAACUCUGAUUUAACGACGUUUCUUCUGAGUGGUACAAGCAAAUAAUCAAAACUUUUAACAACGGAUCUCUUGGUUCUGGCAUCGAUGAAGAACGCAGCGAAAUGCGAUAAGUAAUGUGAAUUGCAGAAUUCAGUGAAUCAUCGAAUCUUUGAACGCACAUUGCGCCCGCCAGCAUUCUGGCGGGCAUGCCUGUUCGAGCGUCAUUUCAACCCUCAAGCUCUGCUUGGUGUUGGGGCCCUACAGCUGAUGUAGGCCCUCAAAGGUAGUGGCGGACCCUCCCGGAGCCUCCUUUGCGUAGUAACUUUACGUCUCGCACUGGGAUCCGGAGGGACUCUUGCCGUAAAACCCCCAAUUUUCCAAAGGUUGACCUCGGAUCAGGUAGGAAUACCCGCUGAACUUAAGCAUAUCAAUAAGCGGAGGAAUUCUGUAGGUGAACCUGCAGAAUAUCAAAAACCGGAGAAGUUUUAUUUGUGAACCUGCGGCGGAAAUUUUCGUGAAGGGGAUGAC
rnacentral:rRNA from 1 species